UGGUAGGAGAGCGUUCCGUAAGCCUGCGAAGGUGCGUUGAAAAGCGUGCUGGAGGUAUCGGAAGUGCGAAUGCUGACAUGAGUAGCGAUAAAGGGGGUGAAAGGCCCCCUCGCCGUAAGCCCAAGGUUUCCUACGCAACGUUCAUCGGCGUAGGGUGAGUCGGCCCCUAAGGCGAGGCAGAAAUGCGUAGCUGAUGGGAAGCAGGUCAAUAUUCCUGCACCAUUGUUAGAUGCGAUGGGGGGACGGAUCGCGGAAGGUUGUCCGGGUGUUGGAAGUCCCGGUCGCUGCAUUGGAGAAGGCGCUUAGGCAAAUCCGGGCGCGGAAUUCAAGGGUGUGGCGCGAGCUCCUUAGGGAGCGAAGCAAUUGGAAGUGGUUCCAAGAAAAGCCUCUAAGCUUCAGUCUAAUGAUGACCGUACCGCAAACCGACACAGGUGGGCGAGAUGAGUAUUCUAAGGCGCUUGAGAGAACUCGGGAGAAGGAACUCGGCAAAUUGGUACCGUAACUUCGGGAUAAGGUACGCCCUUGUAGCUUGAUGCCCCUGCGGGCAAAGGGUGAAGGGGUUGCAAUAAACUGGUGGCUGCGACUGUUUAAUAAAAACACAGCACUCUGCAAACACGAAAGUGGACGUAUAGGGUGUGACGCCUGCCCGGUGCCGGAAGAUUAAAUGAUGGGGUGCAAGCUCUUGAUUGAAGUCCCGGUAAACGGCGGCCGUAACUAUAACGGUCCUAAGGUAGCGAAAUUCCUUGUCGGGUAAGUUCCGACCUGCACGAAUGGCGUAACGAUGGCCACACUGUCUCCUCCCGAGACUCAGCGAAGUUGAAGUGUUUGUGAUGAUGCAAUCUACCCGCGGCUAGACGGAAAGACCCCAUGAACCUUUACUGUAGCUUUGCAUUGGACUUUGAACCGAUCUGUGUAGGAUAGGUGGGAGGCUAUGAAACCGGAACGCUAGUUUCGGUGGAGCCGUCCUUGAAAUACCACCCUGGUUUGUUUGAGGUUCUAACCUUGGCCCGUGAUCCGGGUCGGGGACAGUGCAUGGUAGGCAGUUUGACUGGGGCGGUCUCCUCCCAAAGCGUAACGGAGGAGUACGAAGGUACGCUAGGUACGGUCGGAAAUCGUGCUGAUAGUGCAAUGGCAUAAGCGUGCUUAACUGCGAGACCGACAAGUCGAGCAGGUGCGAAAGCAGGUCAUAGUGAUCCGGUGGUUCUGUAUGGAAGGGCCAUCGCUCAACGGAUAAAAGGUACUCUGGGGAUAACAGGCUGAUACCGCCCAAGAGUUCAUAUCGACGGCGGUGUUUGGCACCUCGAUGUCGGCUCAUCUCAUCCUGGGGCUGUAGCCGGUCCCAAGGGUAUGGCUGUUCGCCAUUUAAAGAGGUACGUGAGCUGGGUUUAAAACGUCGUGAGACAGUUUGGUCCCUAUCUGCCGUGGGCGUUGGAUAUUUGAAGGGGGCUGCUCCUAGUACGAGAGGACCGGAGUGGACGAACCUCUGGUGUACCGGUUGUCACGCCAGUGGCAUCGCCGGGUAGCUAUGUUCGGAAGAGAUAACCGCUGAAAGCAUCUAAGCGGGAAACUCGCCUUAAGAUGAGAUAUCCCUGGGGACUAGAUCCCCUUGAAGGGUCGUUCGAGACCAGGACGUUGAUAGGUCAGGUGUGUAAGCGCAGUAAUGCGUUCAGCUAACUGAUACUAAUUGCCCGUAAGGCUUGAUCC
rnacentral:rRNA from 1 species